UAACCAUGGUGAGGACAAAGGGCUUGAAAUUCCUUUUAUCUUUCCCAUGCUUGGUAUAAAGUCUCAUUAUCCUUUUGUGCAAAUGAAGAAAUACUUCUUUAGGGCA
rnacentral:snoRNA from 1 species